rnacentral:lncRNA from 1 species
GUACGGGAACAUGCCUGGAAGAUCUGCCUUUAUUUGUCUGUGAUGGAUCAGAGAAGUUUUUUCUAAAAUGUCUGGUGCAGUAAAAUGAUAAACUCCAUACAGAGCCGAGGCAGUAAUGUGCCAUAGUGUGCUGUUUUCUCACAGAAGAAGACGACACACUUCUGUUUCCUGUAGCCAAUGCUGCUACAGCCUGAGCUAGCAAUGGAAAACAAAGAAGCAGAGACCAUCCAAAAGAUGUUGAACCGCUACACAUCAGAAUCAAAACUUGAGAUGGAUGAAUGCCCUCUGCAGUGGUGGCUGAAGAGAAAGGAUUCCAACGGUCUCAAUUUUUUGGCUGUGUGCAGAAACCAGGCCAGUCCAUUCAAGCGUAUGUUUUGCGCUUGAGGGAGGUCUAUCUUAGGUUGCAUCAACAGGAUAAGGAUGGAGCAUCCACUGACCCUCAUGCUUGGCCUGGAGGAUGGCGCCUUGCUCCGAGCGUUAAAGAGAGCUUUGCGCUUAGACCCUGAAAUUACCUUCAGUGCCCUGCAAAAGGAGGCCCUCCUGGAGGAAGGAGCGCAAAGUCCAAGGCAAAGUGAAGUAACGUGUUCUGUGGUAAGAGACCCUAAUCACUCCAGAUCUCAUCAACAGAAUGACACAUGGAAGCAGGAGUUGAAAAAGGAGAUUGUGGAGGAGCUGAGGGACCAAAUGAAGGACUUUGCUCGUGAGCUCAUCAGAGAGCUAAGACCAGCUAGCCCUACACACGUGUCAGGACACCGUGGCAGCGCCCCCGAGCCUCGCACAGAGGGAUACCUGCAGCCCCACUCCGUUCAGGGUCCCAACAGGCGUGGGGAGAAGCCUUCGCCCUUUACCGGAGAACUGCUGUCUGUACGGAGGAUGGGUUUAGAGGAUAUGUCUGGCCAGCUCAGAGACGAGGAGUCAGGAUCCCCGCUCGAAGUGAGAUUGUUGCCUGUGGACAGGCUCGAGCUGGACCGUCGGGAAGGGACUAUUGUGGCCUGA